GGAAGGAUCAUUAUUGAAAUAAACCUGAUGGGUUGUUGCUGGUUCUCUAGGGAGCAUGUGCACACCUUGUCAUCUUUAUAUCUCCACCUGUGCACUUUUUGUAGGCCUUUUCAGGUCUAUGUUGCUUCAUUUUACCCCAAUGUAUGUCAAUAGAAUGUUGUGCCUAUAUAUAAUAUAUACAACUUUCAGCAACGGAUCUCUUGGCUCUCGCAUCGAUGAAGAACGCAGCGAAAUGCGAUAAGUAAUGUGAAUUGCAGAAUUCAGUGAAUCAUCGAAUCUUUGAACGCACCUUGCGCUCCUUGGUAUUCCGAGGAGCAUGCCUGUUUGAGUGUCAUUAAUAUAAUCAACCUUCUCUUGUUUUGAGAAUGGUUUGGAUGUGGGGGUUUGCUGGCCUCUCUGAAAAGGUUUUCAGCUCCCCUGAAAUGCAUUAGCAGAACAACCUUUGUUCAUUGGUGUGAUAACUAUCUACGCUUAUGAAUCCAAGGGGCAGUUCAGCUUUCUAAUGGUCUUUGGACAAUUAAUCAUUAAUGUGACCUCAAAUCAGG
rnacentral:misc_RNA from 1 species